rnacentral:rRNA from 1 species
GGCGCCAUAGAGGGUGAGAGCCCCGUAUGGUCGGCCGCCUAGCCUGUGUGAAGCUCCUUCGACGAGUCGAGUAGUUUGGGAAUGCUGCUCAAAAUGGGAGGUAAAUUCCUUCUAAAGCUAAAUACUGGCCAGAGACCGAUAGCGCACAAGUAGAGUGAUCGAAAGAUGAAAAGCACUUUGAAAAGAGGGUUAAACAGCACGUGAAAUUGUUGAAAGGGAAGCGCUUGUGACCAGACUUGCGCCGGGCUGAUCAUCCGGUGUUCUCACCGGUGCACUCUACCCGGCUCAGGCCAGCAUCGGUUUUAGCGGGGGGAUAAAGGCCCCGGGAACGUAGCUCCCCCGGGAGUGUUAUAGCCCGGGACGUAAUGCCCCCGCCGGGACCGAGGACCGCGCUUCGGCAAGGAUGCUGGCGUAAUGGUC